rnacentral:rRNA from 1 species
GAUGAACGCUGGCGGCGUGCCUAAUACAUGCGAGUCGAGCGAACAGAUGAGGAGCUUGCUCCUCUGACGUUAGCGGCGGACGGGUGAGUAACACGUGGAUAACCUACCUAUAAGACUGGGAUAACUUCGGGAAACCGGAGCUAAUACCGGAUAAUAUAUUGAACCGCAUGGUUCAAUAGUGAAAGACGGUUUUGCUGUCACUUAUAGAUGGAUCCGCGCCGCAUUAGCUAGUUGGUAAGGUAACGGCUUACCAAGGCAACGAUGCGUAGCCGACCUGAGAGGGUGAUCGGCCACACUGGAGCUGAGCCACGGUCCAGACUCCUACGGGAGGCAGCAGUAGGCAAUCUUCCGCAAUGGGCGAAAGCCUGACGGAGCAACGCCGCUUGAGUGAUGAAGGUCUUCGGAUCGUACAACUCUGUUAUUAGGGAAGAACAAAUGUGUAAGUAACUAUGCACGUCUUGACGGUACCUAAUCAGAAAGCCACGGCUAACUACGUG